AACGACUCUCGGCAACGGAUAUCUCGGCUCUCGCAUCGAUGAAGAACGUAGCGAAAUGCGAUACUUGGUGUGAAUUGCAGAAUCCCGUGAACCAUCGAGUCUUUGAACGCAAGUUGCGCCCGAAGGCUUCGGCUAAGGGCACGUCUGCCUGGGCGU
rnacentral:rRNA from 1 species